rnacentral:rRNA from 1 species
UACGAAGGGGGCUAGCGUUGCUCGGAAUCACUGGGCGUAAAGCGCACGUAGGCGGAUCUUUAAGUCAGGGGUGAAAUCCCAAGGCUCAACCUUGGAACUGCCUUUGAUACUGGGGAUCUCGAGUCCGGAAGAGGUGAGUGGAACUGCGAGUGUAGAGGUGAAAUUCGUAGAUAUUCGCAAGAACACCAGUGGCGAAGGCGGCCAACUGGUCCGAUACUGACGCUGAGGCGCGGAAAGCGUGGGGAGCAAACAG